rnacentral:rRNA from 1 species
UACGUAGGGUGCGAGCGUUGUCCGGAAUUAUUGGGCGUAAAGGGCUCGUAGGCGGUUUGUCGCGUCGGGAGUGAAAACCCAGGGCUUAACCCUGGGCUGGCUUCCGAUACGGGCAGACUAGAGGUAUGCAGGGGGAGAACGGAAUUCCUGGUGUAGCGGUGAAAUGCGCAGAUAUCAGGAGGAACACCGGUGGCGAAGGCGGUUCUCUGGGCAGUAACUGACGCUGAGGAGCGAAAGCGUGGGGAGCGAACAGG